CGAACUGGUGCUGAAGCUGAGGAGGAGGAGGCGCGCGCAUCACAUGAGCGCAUCGCAUUACAUCACUUUGCUACGACGUGAUUGGCUGAAGGUCAAUGCGUACUUCGCUCGCGGACUAUCACGUCCUAGUCUAACCAUAUAACUCGACUCGAGACGAUAAUUAUUAUCGCUCUCAAAACAAAUCUAAUUAUAACCUUUCAAUUGAUUACACAUAUACUGUCGUUCGGUGCCCGUUUUGAGGAUGGCCGAGAGCGAGGCAGACACGCCAAGCACCCCGAUAGAGUUUGAGAGCAAAUACUUCGAGUUUGAUGGAGUACGACUUCCACCCUUCUGCAGAGGAAAGAUGGAGGAGAUCGCCAACUUCUCCCUCAGAAGUAGCGAUAUAUGGAUUGUCACGUAUCCCAAGUCAGGUACCAGUCUACUUCAGGAGGUGGUGUAUCUGGUGAGUCAGGGGGCGGACCCAGAUGAGAUUGGUCUGAUGAACAUCGAUGAGCAGCUUCCUGUUCUGGAGUACCCUCAGCCUGGCCUAGACAUUAUACAGGAGUUGACGUCUCCUCGUCUGAUAAAAAGCCACCUGCCCUACCGCUUCCUGCCUACAGCCAUGCACAAUGGAGAGUCCAAGGUGAUCUACAUGGCUAGGAACCCUAAAGAUCUUGUGGUGUCUUACUACCAGUUCCACCGCUCCCUCAGAACCAUGAGCUACCGCGGAACCUUCCAGGAGUUCUGCAGACGUUUCAUGAACGACAAGCUGGGAUAUGGUUCCUGGUUUGAGCACGUGCAGGAGUUCUGGGAGCAUCGCAUGGACUCAAACGUCCUCUUCCUGAAAUAUGAAGACAUGUACAAAGACCUGGGGACGUUGGUGGGGCAGCUGGCGAGGUUCCUGGGUGUCUCGUGUGACAAGGCCCAGCUGGAGACCAUGGUGGAGAGUUGCAACCAGCUCAUAGAGCAGUGCUGCAACUCAGAGGCCCUCUCCAUCUGCAGGGUGCAUGGACCCUAGCCUCUGACCUGGUGCUGGUCUAACAUACAGCUCUGAGCUAUUAGGGCCAUAAACACACAUUCCCAUACACACUACUGGAGGACAGGUCGCGUGGGACUGUGGCAGGACAUCUUCACCGUGUCUAUGAAUGACAAGUUUGACACGGUGUAUAGACAGAAGAUGGGCAAGUCUGACCUGACCUUUGACUUCGGCCUGUGAGGACCGGACCGACUGACCACAACGACACGAACACGGACUACACUCCUCCUCCUGCUGCCUAAACACUGUACACCUCUGCCUCUCUUCAUCAAUCAAUCAAUCAAUCACGUAUUGGAUAUAAUGUAUAUAUCAAUCGCUCCACCGCCAAAGACUAUAGCUGUCAAUCAACCAACCAAUCAAUCACCCAAUAAAUUAGUCAGUCAACGCACCAAUCAAUCAAUAUAAAGAUUGCAUCCUUAAAAAGCUCACAAAUCAAUUUUGAUUUAUCAAUCAAUCGGUCAGUUUCUCAGCCAAUCAGCGAGAUCCUGUUUUAGCCCAAUGUGGCACAGAUCCCACCCCUCACCCCCAUCUAUGUCCCCCCUCUCCGCCCAUCAUUCCAUUCGUCUUCAGUAUGUACCGCUGUGUAUGUAUACCAGUGCUCUUUAGCGAGUUGUGUAUGUGGCAGUGGCGCUGUCGCCAAACCAAUACAGAGGAAGCUUCCACAUCUCGUUCAACACUUAACGUUGAGACAGUGUUAUGUUUUUUAAACGCUGUAUGAAUGCUAUGGUGGGGAAUCAUAAGUCCAGCUCAGAGUCAAGUAUAGAGACCACCCAUGACUGCCCUUUGAUACAGAGCAAGUGUUCAGUUUUGGCUGUAUCCAGGUCAGUUCCUAUUUGACCUAGUCCUUCAUUUUAGCGUUUUUCACUUUCAGUACAUACAUAGCUUGUUUGUUACAAAAAGGCUUUCAAUGGGCAUUAGCUUAAUCAGCACUAGACUUUUUGUAACAGCCUUUCUUGCUGAAGUGACUGGGGAUGUGAGUGUGUGUGUGCGUGUGUGUGUGUGUGUGUGCGUGUGUGUACAUGCUCGUGUGUGAGCAAAAUCACAAAAACAACACAUCACAACUGCCUUUCAUAUCAGUUCUGUUUGUUCAUGCUGCUAAAGUGAUGCCUUUCUCUGUCCUCAGACCCAUAGCCACCUAUAGAGUUAAUGUACUACACUGAGACAACAGAGUAUCCCUCCAUGUUACCAGCAUUCUCUGUGUGCUAUCCCCCAUGUACAUGUCCCUUCAGACUGGAUCUAAAGUUGCAUGGAUGGAUGUAUUCAUCCCUCCCCAAAGGUUAGGCAUCGAAACAUCGUCGCCCUCUGUUUGUCAUCAGAGCCCCCUUUCCCUUCUAUUGCUUACAUCUCUUUCUCUUCCUCCUCUCCGCUGUAAAUGCCCUCAGACAGACUGGUAGACCCUCCCCUCCCAACCCCUCUGCUCUGCUGGACACUUGUGAAUGUGUUUAUUGAUGUGGAUGUAACAACCUCAACAGACCCCUCCCACAGGCUCAGUUCUCUGCUUUAGGACUUCCCUCUUUCACUUUCUCUCACUCACUCUCACUCUCUCUCUGUCUCUCACGCACUCUCUGUUUCUCUCUCUCUCUCUCUCUCUCUCUCUCUCUCUCUGUCUCUCACUCA